rnacentral:lncRNA from 1 species
CUCAGGGGAAGCUGGCCUACCUGCCGUCUCCUUUUCCAGAUGACGCGGCUGCAGCUCCUUCGAUUAGGUUUCAGAAUGGAACUGUAUCAAAAAGCAUCAAUGAGAAAACUCAGAAGAAACAGCAACUCUCUGCUGCAGCAUCUGAUUUACCGAGGAGUUCACGGAGGAGGCAGGGACACUCCAAUUCCAGCUCAGCCGAGAGACGCUAAUAUGAUCCAGUCCAUCGCCAGCCUGAUCAGAGCGAAGAGCAAACUGCUGCUGUUGGAAAAUCCAGACACGGUGGAGAUCUACAAGCUGGAUGAACCAACAGCUGGACCAGGAAAAGGUCACUUCUAUCUUCCCGCCAUCCCACCCAAAGCUUCCGGUCUGAGCUCCGUCAGGGGGGCUCUGACUCAAUCCUGCCCUUAUCUGUACGACAAGCGGCGAGGGUCGCUCUCGUCCG